UAGUACGGCGAGCGAAGCGGGAAGAGCUCAAAUUUGAAAUCUGGUGGCCUCAGGUCAUCCGAGUUGUAAUCUAUAGAAGUGUUUUCCGUGCUGGCCCAUGUACAAGUCCCUUGGAACAGGGCGUCAUAGAGGGUGAGAAUCCCGUCCUUGACAUGGACUACCAGUGCUCUGUGAUACACUUUCAACGAGUCGAGUUGUUUGGGAAUGCAGCUCAAAAUGGGUGGUAAAUUCCAUCUAAAGCUAAAUAUUGGCGAGAGACCGAUAGCGAACAAGUACCGUGAGGGAAAGAUGAAAAGCACUUUGGAAAGAGAGUUAAACAGUAUGUGAAAUUGUUGAAAGGGAAACGAUUGAAGUCAGUCGUGCUCAAUGGACUCAGCCGUUCUGCGGUGUAUUUCCAUUGGGUGGGGUCAACAUCAGUUUUGAUCGCUGGAUAAAGGCAGGAGGAAUGUAGCACCCCCGGGUGAACUUAUAGCCUCUUGUCACAUACAGUGGUUGGGACUGAGGAACGCAGCAUGCCUUUAUGGCCGGGAUUCGUCCACGUACAUGCUUAGGAUGUUGACAUAAUGGCUUUAAACGAC
rnacentral:rRNA from 1 species